CUCUUGAUUUCAUAAAGAGCAGUACAAUAAUUACCAUGGAUGGCAAAGGAGUUUUAUCUUUUGAAGAACUCCUUCUCAGAAGUUUGAGUUCUGAUUUUUUUUUUUUUUAAAUACAAACUUUCGUGAAAGAAUAGCCAUAUUAUUUCACUAUGAAGGGCUGUACUACAUUUACCCAGAUAAAAAAUUGAUGAUUUUUAUCAAAUGUCUAUGUAUAUAAUCAAAGCAUUGGUAUUGUGUAUAAUACAAACUUUGAUACUACUUUUGAAUGAUGUCGACAUCAAGCUCCAUAUGUUGCAGAUUUUGGUACUUUCCAAAUUCUCUCAAAUCUGAGUUCUAAUCUCAUCACGUUUAGUAACGUUAUUUUCAUUAUGUCAUUGGUUGAUAUACUAUUUUACUUCUUUUGUUAUUGCAUAUAGUGCCAUGUUUUUUGCUGGUUCUGGCUCUGGCAGAUUAGUAACUGACUGUGUAUUUCAAAUUUCUUGUUCAUUAGCUGCAUUUGGAGCAUAUAUUCAGCCUAUGACAUAUUCUAAUGAGAUCGGAUUGCAUAUGCUUAUAAGUUGGGUGGUACUGGAAGCAUCUGCUCAAGGUUAUAUUAUGUUACUCCUCUAUUUCCAUAUUAUUCUGAUGAGUACCUGACCUGCUGUCCUCAGUUGUUUCUUUUGUCUCCAGCUCCCAAUGUGUAAUCCUGCUGAGAUUAAUGUAAACAGUUGAUAUAUAUCAACUAAGCAAACACAGUGUAUAAAUGAAUUCUGGCAACAGAGGUGCCAGUUCCCCUAGGCUGGAACCCCCUAAACCCCUUAAUUCCCUUUUACUUUUUCCUUGAUGAUUUCCUCAUCUUCUUCCUCUUCUUUAUCAGCCAGCAGUUCCUUUCAAAAAGUGUUAUACUCCCACUUUCCAGCCAAAAGCCCAAUUCAAAUGUAUUAUCUGCUUAGUUAUCUUGCGAACAACCCAAUUCAAAUAUAUUAUCUGUUUUGCUAUUCUGCUACAUGUGUGCACCUCCUGGCCUCAGCUUCAAGUGCCUCCACUUCAGCUUGCAGUGAAAUUCCUCAGCUGCCCUUCCUUUGGUGUACCUUGGUGAUCAAAGGUCUAUCAUAUUUAGACCAUGGACUUGUUUUCAGAGUCAUGUUUCAGAGUGAAUCUGGCUCCUUACCAGGUACUGCACUCAAUGUGGGAAUUCUCAAGCAUAUUCCUGGGAAGAACUUGUUCAACAAAUCAACUGCCCCUGCAGUAAUACUAGUGUGACUUCAUUUUAAUGCAAUCUUUCCUGAAGGGAGACUUCAAGCCUGGAGGGUAUUUUUCCAGGUCACAGGUUGUUCCAGGGCCCCUUUUGACAGGCCCUCUUCAUAAGGCUACCUAUAUUACAGAUAUGUUAAAUUUGGCUGAGCAAAGGGGAUGGGUGGGUAAUGACAUGAACUGGAAAAACUUUUAAAUCAGAUGAUAGAUGAAAGUGCCAGAUUACCAGUUGUAUAUACCAAAUUGGCCAAAGAACAUAUAUAAUAUCUUCUUUUCAUUAUUUUCUA